rnacentral:rRNA from 1 species
CCUACGGGAGGCAGCAGUGAGGAAUAUUGGUCAAUGGGCGCGAGCCUGAACCAGCCAAGUCGCGUGAAGGAUGAAUGCCCUACGGGUUGUAAACUUUUUUUAUAAAGGAAUAAAGUGAGGCACGUGUGCCUUUUUGUAUGUACUUUAUGAAUACGGAUCGGCUAACUCCGUGCCAGCAGCCGCGGUAAUACGGUGGAUCCGAGCGUUAUCCGGGUUUAUUGGGUUUAAAGGGAGCGUAGAUGGGUUGUUAAGUCAGUUGUGAAAGUGUGCGGCUCAACCGUAAAAUUGCAAUUGAUACUGGCAGUCUUGAGUACAGUUGAGGUAGGCGGAAUUCGUGGUGUAGCGGUGAAAUGCUUAGAUAUCACGAAGAACACCGAUUGCGAAGGCAGCUUACUAAACUGCCACUGACAUUGAUGCGCGAAAGUGUGGGGAUCAAACAGGAUUAGAUACCCCGGUAGUC